rnacentral:rRNA from 1 species
UACGUAGGGUGCAAGCGUUGUUCGGAAUUAUUGGGCGUAAAGAGCUCGUAGGCGGUUUGUCGCGUCUGCUGUGAAAACGCGAGGCUCAACCUCGCGCCUGCAGUGGGUACGGGCAGACUAGAGUGCGGUAGGGGAGAUUGGAAUUCCUGGUGUAGCGGUGGAAUGCGCAGAUAUCAGGAGGAACACCGAUGGCGAAGGCAGAUCUCUGGGCCGUAACUGACGCUGAGGAGCGAAAGCGUGGGGAGCGAACAGG